UCCGUAGGUGAACCUGCGAAGGAUCAUUG
rnacentral:rRNA from 3 species